rnacentral:lncRNA from 1 species
AUGUCCAUCACCGUGUCCAUCCCUGUGUCCAUCCCGUGUCCAUCCCUGUGUCCAUCCCGUGUCCAGCCCUGCCCAGGCUCCCGCAGCUCCUCGCUCUCUCCGCGCUCCUCCCGCCUCUUUCGUUUCCCCUUCCCGGAUUUUUGGGUUGAUUUUCCUUUUUUUGGCGUUUCUUGGUGCUACUCCCCCCCGCGCCCCCAGCAGAUACCUCAGCCCCAGCCCGGGUGCAGCUCCUCCGGGAUCAGGGAUCCUUUCCCAAAUUCCUGGGAUCCUUUCCCAAAUUUCUGGGAUCCUUCCCCAAUUCCUGGGAUCCUUCCCCAGUUCCUGGGAUCCUUUCCCAAAUAUCUGGGAUCCUUUCCCAAAUUUCUGGGAUCCUUCCCCAAUUCCUGGGAUCCUUCCCUAAUUCCUGGGAUCCUUCCCCCAAUUCCUGGGAUCCUUUCCCAAUUCCUGGGAUCCUUUCCCAAAUAUCUGGGAUCCUUCCCCAGUUCCUGGGAUCCUUUCCCAAAUUUCUGGGAUCCUUUCCCAAAUAUCUGGGAUCCUUCCCCAGUUCCUGGGAUCCUUUCCCAAAUAUCUGGGAUCCUUUCCCAAAUUUCUGGGAUCCUUCCCCAGUUCCUGGGAUCCUUCCCCCAAUUCCUGGGAUCCUUUCCCAAAUUUCCAGGAUCCUUUCCCACAUUCUCGAGAUCCUUUUCCCUCCAUUUCCGAGAUCCUUUCCCGCAUUUCCAGGAUCCUUUCCCGCAUUUCCAGGAUCCUUUCCCGAAUUUCCAGGAUCCUUUCCCGCAUUUCCAGGAUCCUUUCCCGAAUUUCCAGGAUCCUUUUUCCUGAAUUUCUGGGAUCCUUUGGGGCUUUCCUCCUGCCUUGCCCUCCUUUUCCCGUUUCCAGCCGGGUUUUCCCAUUUCUGCGCCUCCUUCAGGGAAUUCCGACCCCGCCGCGAUUUCCCCGCUUGGGUCACGAGGAGGGGCCGUGGGAUCCUUCAUUUGGGAAUCAAAUUGGAUUGAUUUUAUUUUAUUUAUUUUAUUUUAUUUUAUUUUAUUUUAUUUUAUUUUAUUUUAUUUUAUUUUAUUUUAUUUUAUUUUUAUUUUAUUUAUUUUAUUUUAUUUUAUUUUAUUUUAUUUUAUUUAUUUUAUUUUAUUUUAUUUU